rnacentral:rRNA from 1 species
ACAUGCCUACAACUUAGCAUUAAUGCACCGGAUCCCAUUAGAACUUCGCAAUUAAGCGUUCUCAAGCUAGAGUAGUAUUGGGAUGGGUGACCACCCGGGAAGUCCUAGUAUUUUACAUGCC